AUUGAACGCUGGCGGCAGGCCUAACACAUGCAAGUCGAACGGUAACAGGAAGAAGCUUGCUUCUUUGCUGACGAGUGGCGGACGGGUGAGUAAUGUCUGGGAAACUGCCUGAUGGAGGGGGAUAACUACUGGAAACGGUAGCUCAUACCGCAUAACGUCGCAAGACCAAAGAGGGGGACCUUCGGGCCUCUUGCCAUCGGAUGUGCCCAGAUGGGAUUAGCUAGUAGGUGGGGUAACGGCUCACCUAGGCGACGAUCCCUAGCUGGUCUGAGAGGAUGACCAGCCACACUGGAACUGAGACACGGUCCAGACUCCUACGGGAGGCAGCAGUGGGGAAUAUUGCACAAUGGGCGCAAGCCUGAUGCAGCCAUGCCGCGUGUAUGAAGAAGGCCUUCGGGUUGUAAAGUACUUUCAGCGGGGAGGAAGGGAGUAAAGUUAAUACCUUUGCUCAUUGACGUUACCCGCAGAAGAAGCACCGGCUAACUCCGUG
rnacentral:rRNA from 1 species